rnacentral:misc_RNA from 1 species
GGGGACUAUAACAUCAAGAAGAGAAAAAAGAGCGCCUUUCAAACAACCACCACCCACAACCAAGCUCUUAUUCUACAGAAAGUGAUACAAUACAAAUAUACAAAAGAAACAUCGCUCGAUGUAUUUCCAAGUUAAGGUUUUGAAGCUUAUUUAUCUCAGCUGGAGCAACAUCCAAUCCUCUUCAGAACCGACGACUCAUCCUUGAGAUCUAUUGUCUGACCUUUCGCCGGGAGGGUCAUUGAAGCACUUCCACUAUCGCCUACAUCGACUGAUCUCUUGCUUACGAUUCGAUAUAUUUGAGAUAGCACCUCUGUGAAAGCGCUUUCGACGUUUGUUGCAUCC